rnacentral:rRNA from 1 species
GACAGAGGAUGCAAGCGUUAUCCGGAAUGAUUGGGCGUAAAGCGUCUGUAGGUGGCUUUUUAAGUCCGCCGUCAAAUCCCAGGGCUCAACCCUGGACAGGCGGUGGAAACUACCAAGCUGGAGUACGGUAGGGGCAGAGGGAAUUUCCGGUGGAGCGGUGAAAUGCGUAGAUAUUCGCAGGAACACCAGUGGCGAAGGCGGCUAACUGGUCCUAACU